UACGGAGGAUGCGAGCGUUAUCUGGAUUUAUUGGGUUUAAAGGGUGCGUAGGCGGACUGUCAAGUCAGCGGUAAAAUUGAGAGGCUCAACCUCUUCCCGCCGUUGAAACUGGUGGUCUUGAGUGGAUGAGAAGUACGCGGAAUGCGUGGUGUAGCGGUGAAAUGCAUAGAUAUCACGCAGAACCCCGAUUGCGAAGGCAGCGUACCGGCAUCCAACUGACGCUGAGGCACGAAAGCGUGGGGAUCAAACAGG
rnacentral:rRNA from 1 species